CUCUCUCUCUCCUCUGUGAAUCUUUUGUGCAUCUCUUCUUCAUAUGUUCAAACCAUCUCAACCUUACCUCCCUCAUCUUGUCUACCAUUUGGGUCACUCUUACUUUAUUUUGUAUAUCUUCAUUCCUGAUCCUAUAUCUCCUAGUAUGUCCAUGCAUCCAUUUGAUCAACGCCCUCAUCUCUGCUACUUGCAUCUUUUAGACAUACGAGUUGUUGAUCGGCAAACAUUCGACUCCAUAGAACAUAGUUG
rnacentral:lncRNA from 1 species